rnacentral:sRNA from 1 species
AAGAGAUGACCUGGUCAGUGUAAGAAAUGACCUAGUCAGUGUUAUUGCUUCCUUGUAAACACUAAAUAAUGAAAUCUCUUUCAUGUCUUCGCCAAUCACAGGUGGAGCCCCUCAUGCCGGCUAGAGGAAGGGAAGCUACUCUGAAGUUAACGUCUCUAUGCCAAUGCUCGUCUGCAAAAAUUCCAUGAAUAAAUUCAACCAAUCAAGGAGCUUCUUUCACCUAGAGAGUUAACAUCCAAUCAAAUGUAUUCAUUGCUGCAGUAGUAGUUCCAUGUAUUUUGAAAUAUAAAUAAAUAUGACUGUUUUAUUGUUUUUAGUCUAGAGUUUAUGUCCAAUAUGUACACAUUUAUAUCAGCCGAAAAGUCAAGUAGGCCUCUUUGGUAGAAUACGAUGUUCCUCUAUCACUGAGAUGUUGACCUGCAGGGUUGCCCCUACUAGCCCAGACUACAUUUAACUGACAAGUAUUUAACAAUAUCAAAACUUAAACAAGGCACUUGCAAUUUAUUUUAUCUGCUGAUUACAUUUUAAAAAAAGAAUGAGUUUUUUUUUAAUUUCCUUUUUUGUAGAAAAAAAAACUAUUCUAAAAACAGAAAUAGUCCAUCGUCAAAUUGAACAAGCCAUUCGUAGUGUUUCGGAGCAAACGACAGAUAUAAAAGUUUUAUGUUAUGUAGGUUGGAAGAUAAUCAUUCUUGACAGAUUCUAUGUAGAUAUUUAAAUAGUUUCUUUUUUAAAAGACAUUAUUGUCAAAUAAAUGAAAACAUUACAUUAAGAUAUUCAUAAAUUGACUCAGUUGGCAACCCUGUUAUAAGGGCCCAAAUUUGUUUUGAUCAAUUCAUUAUUUGCAUAAUCAUGUGAGACCCACUGAUCAUCAAUUUCCAGUAUUAGUUUUUAGAUGAUUAAGAAAUACAAUGGUUGUCAUCUUGCCAUUUAACUUCUUAUCUUGUUUUGUAUCUCAUAGAUUUCAACCAACAAAAUGUGCUAUGACAAGAAGAAAUUAACUCAUGGGUUUUUCAUAUUAAAAUUAUACAGGAAA